GCAGAACGAACCGCUGGCGGCGCGCCUAACACAUGCAAGUCGCACGCGAAAGGGGGCAACCCUGAGUAAGUGGCGCACGGGUGAGUAACGCGUAGGUGAUCUACCUUUGUGACCGGGAUAACCAGCCGAAAGGUUGGCUAAUACUGGAUAGAGCGCACUUAUCGUAAAGAUGAGUGCGGGAAAGGGCGGCGUAGCAAUACGCUGUUGCACUGAGAUGAGCCUGCGUCUCAUUAGCUAGUUGGUAGGGUAAUGGCCUACCAAGGCUUUGAUGGGUAGCUGGUCUGAGAGGACGAUCAGCCACACUGGAACUGAAACACGGUCCAGACUCCUACGGGAGGCAGCAGUGGGGAAUCUUGCGCAAUGGACGAAAGUCUGACGCAGCGACGCCGCGUGGGUGAAGAAGGCCUUCGGGUUGUAAAGCCCUGUCGAGUGGGAAAAAUGGUAUCCGGAAUAAUACGCCGGGUAAUUGAUGGUACCACUAGAGGAAGCACCGGCUAACUCCGUGCCAGCAGCCGCGGUAA
rnacentral:rRNA from 1 species